rnacentral:rRNA from 1 species
AUUGAACGCUGGCGGCAGGCCUAACACAUGCAAGUCGAACGGCAGCACAGAAGAGCUUGCUCUUUGGUGGCGAGUGGCGGACGGGUGAGUAAUGUCUGGGAAACUGCCCGAUGGAGGGGGAUAACUACUGGAAACGGUAGCUAAUACCGCAUAACGUCGCAAGACCAAAGUGGGGGACCUUCGGGCCUCACACCAUCGGAUGUGCCCAGAUGGGAUUAGCUAGUAGGUGGGGUAAUGGCUCACCUAGGCGACGAUCCCUAGCUGGUCUGAGGGGAUGACCAGCCACACUGGAACUGAGACACGGUCCAGACUGCUACGGGAGGCAGCAGUGGAGAAUAUUGCACAAUGGGCGCAAGCAUGAUGCAGCCAUGCCGCGUGUAUGAAGAAGGCCUUCGGGUUGUAAAGUACUUUCAGCGGGGAGGAAGGCGGUGAGGUUAAUAACCUUGCCGAUUGACGUUACCCGCAGAAGAAGCACCGGCUAACUCCGUGCCAGCCGCCGUAAGAC